UACGUAGGGGGCUAGCGUUGUCCGGAUUUAUUGGGCGUAAAGAGCGUGUAGGCGGCCAGGUAGGUCUGCUGUGAAAACUCGAGGCUCAACCUCGAGACGUCGGCGGAAACCAUCUGGCUAGAGUCCGGAAGAGGAGAGUGGAAUUCCUGGUGUAGCGGUGAAAUGCGCAGAUAUCAGGAAGAACACCCGUGGCGAAGGCGGCUCUCUGGGAAGAUACUGACGCUGAGGUGCGAAAGCGUGGGGAGCAAACAGG
rnacentral:rRNA from 1 species